rnacentral:rRNA from 1 species
UGGGGAAUUUUCCGCAAUGGGCGCAAGCCUGACGGAGCAACGCCGCGUGAGGGAGGAAGGCCUGUGGGUUGUAAACUUCUUUUCUCUAGGAAGAAGGUCUGACGGUACUAGAGGAAUCAGCAUCGGCUAACUCCGUGCCAGCAGCCGCGGUAAGACGGAGGAUGCAAGCGUUAUCCGGAAUUAUUGGGCGUAAAGCGUCCGUAGGCGGUUAUUUAAGUCUGCUGUCAAAGACCACAGCUCAACUGUGGGCGGGCGGUGGAAACUGGGUAACUAGAGUUCGGUAGGGGUAGAGGGAAUUCCCAGUGUAGCGGUGAAAUGCGUAGAGAUUGGGAAGAACACCAGUGGCGAAGGCGCUCGACUGGGCCGUAACUGACACUCAGGGACGAAAGCUAGGGUAGCGAAAGGGAUUAGAUACCCCCGUAGUCC